rnacentral:rRNA from 1 species
GAUGAACGCUGGCGGCGUGCUUAACACAUGCAAGUCGAACGGAAAGGCUCCUGCUUGCAGGGGUACUCGAGUGGCGAACGGGUGAGUAACACGUGGGUGAUCUGCCCUGCACUUCGGGAUAAGCCUGGGAAACUGGGUCUAAUACCGGAUAGGACGAUGGUUUGGAUGCCGUUGUGGAAAGUUUUUUCGGUGUGGGAUGAGCUCGCGGCCUAUCAGCUUGUUGGUGGGGUAAUGGCCUACCAAGGCGUCGACGGGUAGCCGGCCUGAGAGGGUGUACGGCCACAUUGGGACUGAGAUACGGCCCAGACUCCUACGGGAGGCAGCAGUGGGGAAUAUUGCACAAUGGGCGCAAGCCUGAUGCAGCGACGCCGCGUGGGGGAUGACGGCCUUCGGGUUGUAAACUCCUUUCGCUAGGGACGAAGCGCAAGUGACGGUACCUGGAGAAGAAGCACCGGCUAACUACGUG